ACAACCACUUCACAUCUAAUGUGGUAUUGACUGAUGUGGAAGGCACUUGCGGUGCUUGUCCCACUCAGUCGAAAUGUAUAGGCCAGAGAAGCAAACCAUGGCAACAGACUCACAGAGUAUUAUACAAUGCUAAACUAGUCGGGUUACAGGUUGAAAUCUGUGCCACUGGACCCCCCGUUCAUCUAAUUCAUAGA
rnacentral:misc_RNA from 1 species